AAAAGGCCAGAGCCCGACUUUAUAAAUAAAGCCACAUGGCAGCGUCACGAGACCAAACAGGAAAGAGAUCAGUUAACGAGGAGAACGCACAUAGCGCACGGAACGAAAAGUAUAUAAGAGUAGCCAAGAAAUGAUAGAUAUAGGCAACUGCCAUACACGGCGCGCAGGCCGGAAAGGAGUGAGACCUAAACUCCGCAAACAGCACCACCAGGAUUAGACGACAGGAUCCCGUCCGGAGAUGUGAGAUGCCGAAGCCCGGAUUUUGUCGAUGAGCAGGUCCAGGGCAUCCUGAUCAACCUCCUUAGUCAAUGAUCUCCACUGCUGCAAUAAUAUACAUGAUUUGAAAAGAACGUCAGCAGGCUUAGAUGGGAAGAUAUGCUCAAUAGUAAAUUUGUUCCUAAUGGUCCACAGAGCCCAACAUAAGGCACCCAUGCCAACCCAAAACACCCUCUUGGUGACCCCAACCAAAGCUUUGGCUAGGGUUCGAAUAUUGGAGAAAGAGGAGGGGUUCCAAGAGACCUGAAGCCAAGAUCUGACACGGCACCAAACCAGCUUGGCCAGCACGCAAUUGAAAAAGAUGUGAUCAGAGUUCUCCAAGGCCCCACAUAGAUGACAGAAAUCCGAGCCAGGCCCAUUGCGCUUUUUAAUCUGGUCAGCAGCCGGCAGGCGACCACGAAAGGCUUGCCAAAGAAAAAUUUUAAUCUUAGGAGGAACUUUGGACUUCCAAACACAAGAGAAUCUGGUCGAAGGAGUACCACCAAUAAGUCUAGAAUAAAGCGACUUGACCGUAAAUCUACCUGAGGCCGAAUGAGGCCAGACUACAGAAUCGGCCGACUCCGAGAGCACGGGGAAGAGGGCAGAGAGACUUUGCCAAUCUUCCAACUCUUCAAGAGACAGGGCCCGACGAAAGGCCAGAUCCCAGUUAUUAGCCGCCACCUCCGCGAUGGAGAUACCCGGAUUAGGACAAUAAGAGAACAAAACCGGAAAACUCUCAGCGAGGGGGGCAUCCCCCGACCACCAGUCCAACCAAAAGCGGACUGCCAUCCCAUUACCAACAUUAAAUUUAACAUAUUCCAGGAAAAUAGGUCUGACUUUGACAAGGGAUUUCCAAAAUUGAGAGCCGCGCCUCGCGGUGGCAAACAGCGGGUUGGAAUGUGGGAAGUAUUUAGCCUUAAGAAUCGAGAACCAAAGCGAGUCAGCCCCACUAGUUAAAAUUUCCCACCACCACUUGAUAAGCAAACAAAUGUUCAUCACCCGAGUAUUAAUAAUACCUAACCCCCCACGGUUUUUAGGCUUACACAUAUGCUGCCACUUGACCAGCCUAUAUUUCCGUUUGUUAUCCGCGGAAUUCCAGUAGAAGGCUCCCCUAUGUUUGUCGAAGCCAGCAUGCACGCCAUCCGUAAGAAGAUAGAAGCCCAUAAGAAACAUGGGGAGAGAGGAUAAGCAGGAGUUAAUUAGAGCAACUUUGCCAGCAUUGGUAUUAUAUCUGCCUCUCCAAGGGAGCACCCUGUUCCCCACUUUAGCGACCGCCGGAGCGAAAUCUUUAGCAUGGAGCACGCCAGGAGAGAUAAGAAGGCCUAGAUAUUUAAAGGGAAAGGAACCCAAAGAACAGUUCAGAAGCCUGGCAACCCGCAAGGCUUCCGCCUCAUCCACACCCGUCACCAGGACCUCACUUUUAGCGAAAUUAAUCUUAAGACCCGAAACAGCUUCGAAACACAACAUGAUGAAUUUAAGAUUGGCAAUGCAGGUGUCAUCCAGCUCCACCAAGAUAAUUGUAUCAUCCACAUAUUGCAAGUGGGAAACACCCUUCGGAAGUAAAUGAGAGACCACAGGAGCAAUGUGACCACAACGGGCCACCCUGGAAAGCAUGCACGAGAAGGCGUCGGCCACAAAAUUAAAAAGAAUAGGGGAAGCAGGAUCCCCUUGGCGAAGGCCCCUACCAUUGGCGAAGAAAUUGCUAACAAAACCAUUAACCGAAACGGCAGUAUGGCCACCCGAGACCAACUGCAUGAUACGAUGAACAUAAGCACCGUCGAAACCUUUAGCAAGAAGGACCUGAUUGAGGAAGGGCCAGCUAACGAAGUCAUAGGCUUUCUCAAAGUCUAGCUUAAGGAUAACCGCUUUAGCUCUCCGAGCGUGAAGAUCAUGAACAAUCUCAUGAAGGGAUAGGAUACCAUCAAGGAUGAAACGCCCUUUGAUGAAAGCAGAUUGAUAAGGACUAAUAACUCUAUGAGCAACCGGCGACAAACGAUUCGCAAAGCCUUUAGCCGGGAAUUUGGCGAAGUUGUUAGUCAAAGCAAUAGGUCGGAAUUGGGAAAUAACAUCAGCACCCUUAACCUUGGGGAUCAGGGUUAUCGCUGCAUAGUUCAGGCGGGAGAUAUCGACAGUACCAAGACAGAAGCCCUGGAUAACAUUACAAACCAGCUGUUUCAACUAGGGCCAGAAUUUCCGAAAGAAAGGAAUAGAGAAGCCGUCUGGCCCAGAAGCAGCAUUAGGAUUGACAGUGUUAACAACAUCCCAAAUUUCCUAAUCAGAAAGAGGGAUCAUCAAAGAGGCAUUCUCCUCGGGUGAGAUUUUAAGACCUAUGUUCCAAAGGGAGGGAGAAAUGGAGAAGCCCGAUGGAGGUUUAGCCCCCAACAACGAAGAGAAGAAAUCCACCACAUGAGCCAUAAUAACAGACUACUCCAAAGAUCGCACACCAUUAAUGAGCAGGCUAUUAAUACCACAUCGUCUACACCUGCCGUUUGCGAUCGCAAAGAAAUAUGCCGUAGGGGAGUCGCCUUUUAGAGUCCAGUUUAGAGUACCCCGUUGACGCCAAUAAAUCUCAGCCUGAUGGUGUAACUGUAUUAAAGCAGCCUCCAGAUUAUAACGAACCGCCCAACCAUCAUCAGAGAGCCCAAUAGAAUCAGCCGCGCGAUACAGCGACAAGAUCUGUUCUUCGAGGAAAGAUUUGGUGCAACGAUCCUCCGCCGCACGAUUACGAGACCAACCUCUGAGGAAUUUACGCAGGUUAUAGGAACACGAAUGCCAAUCAUCCAAAGGCCCAAAGAAGCGAGCAUUGGAUGAUAGAGAAAGGGAGAUCUUCGCCGCAACCAUAUCGACAAAGCCAUCCACAGCCAACCAGGAGGCGUCAAAUUGAAAUCUAGCCGGAGGCCUGAGGCUAAUGGAACCAUCGUCACGAAUUAAGGGGGUAUGAUCGGAACCGAUAAUGCAUUUGGCGUAAAGAGAGGCCCUAGGGAACAAGGAAUCCCACCUGGGACAAAGGAAGACUCNNNNNNNNNNNNNNNNNNNNNNNNNNNNNNNNNNNNNNNNNNNNNNNNNNNNNNNNNNNNNNNNNNNNNNNNNNNNNNNNNNNNNNNNNNNNNNNNNNNNNNNNNNNNNNNNNNNNNNNNNNNNNNNNNNNNNNNNNNNNNNNNNNNNNNNNNNNNNNNNNNNNNNNNNNNNNNNNNNNNNNNNNNNNNNNNNNNNNNNNNNNNNNNNNNNNNNNNNNNNNNNNNNNNNNNNNNNNNNNNNNNNNNNNNNNNNNNNNNNNNNNNNNNNNNUGACUGAUGAUUGGACCAGGUAUAACGAGCUCCCCCUCGAAGCAACUCACGAAUAGCAUUGGCACUAAUGAAGUCGUUAAAGGCAUUAGCCAGCGGCCAGGAGAAGUUAUCAUUACUUUUGUCAUUAGGGCACCGCAGAAGGUUAAAGUCUCCCCCGAUAACCAUCGGUAAAUUACAAGCAUCGAUCUUCAACGAAAGUUCAUUAAGAAAUAAAGGCGACAAGGAAUGGUCCGCAGGCCCAUAGACGACGAUAAACUCACAAAGAGUAUUCUGAGCUUUAUGAGAGAGAACAACACUGGCCCAAAAGAUCCCAUGAUCAAAAGCAACAAAAUCAAAAAUAUCUUUAUUGGACCCUAUCAAGAUCCCGCCAAAGUGCCCCGAAGCAGGUAAAAAGUUCCAAUUAAAUCUGUCCAUGCCCACAAUAGCAGAAAAGUCAUUAGGGGAGAAGGAUUCCUUGAAGGUUUCUACCAGCCCCACAAAGUCAAUAGAGUUAGAACGAACCAGAUCUUUAAGUUGGUCACGGCGCCCCCUAGCACCGAACCCCCUAAUAUUCCAGAAUAAUGCCCUCAUUUAUAAGAAAGAUUCUUGAUUCCAAGGCUCGACCUGCAAGGGGCCACGCAGGGUUUAGCACGCUUAUUGGUGCCCCUUUUAGACAAGUUGGAUUUGGGCUGGCCACUACCAGCGCCCGCGUCCACGACCGGACCACUACUAGAAGCCCCUACCUGAGAGGCAACGGCCUCUUCGGCUUUGGCAAUGGCAGCCUGAGCCAUCUCGUUAGCCCGAAUAAUAGCAAGAAGAGAACUAGGAGAACCAGCAAACGAAUCAACCACCACCCCCACAUCCGACAUAAUAUUUAAAAGAUGAUCAUCCGAAAGAGAAGGUAGAACCAACCGAACCGAAGAAGCAACAACAGAGGGAACGAGAGAUGUACCUGGGGGAGGGAGAUCCUUCGCCGCAGCCCGCUUUUCAGCCCGCUCCAGGACAGAAACACCUGAAUUCGCCACCCGCCUUCCUUUGCGAGCCGUGGACACAGGGGAUCGAAUCGCAGGCGACCACACAGCAGGAGAGCCAACAUGGGGACCCGAACGGGACAUAGAUCCCAAAUCUUGAUCAAGACGCCGACAAACCCCCGUCAUGGAGUGCUUCGAGCCCGACGAGUUCCGGCUCUUAGCCUAGAAUUUGCGCACUGAGGAUUUCUUCUUCCGGAGGGACUGGGAUUCCACCACAUCACGAGCCGAGGAGGUCGGAAGAUAUUCAAUUCCCGAUCGAGUGGGGGAGAGCGGGCGGACAGGAAGAUUGGAGCAAGCACCAGAAACGGGGGUAGCAGAGUAGGGAGGGAACUUCGACAUAUCAGCACCACCAGCAGGGACAUUGGGAGCAGCAGACGGGAUCACCGAAUCAUCACGAGGAGCAACACCAGAGGGAGCUUGGGAUUGAAACAACUCACGUUCAGAAUCUGCCAAACCAUCCCAUUCAGAUUGGGUGAAGCGGAGGUUAGACCCAUGGCUCUGAUUAGGGCCACCCAGAGAUCCGUCCCCCUCCUUAUCAUGCUUGUCCGAAGGGUUAGAAGGGGGAGGUGGAGUCUGAAAAGCAGCCGCCCCCUCCACCCGCACCCGAAGCUUAAUACCAUUGGGAGAAGGGAAGAUAUCAAUCGAGCCAUGAACCCGUUCAGGAUCCACACACCAAACCUUCAUCCUAGCAGGGCCAACCUUGUUCAGAGAGUCUUCAUCCACCUCGAUGGGCUUCCCAAUCAGAACCCCGAAAGACAUGGGAAAAGCAGACGAACGGAGACCAGCAGGCAAAUCGUCAAUCAAAACCCAGACUUGAGAGAGAGGACCAACUGCCGUACCACUGCAAGAAGCCGCUUUAACAGAAACCACCAAUUGAUUGAGGGGCAAGGUGAAGCUAGUGCAUGAGGCAAUCAUCCGCAAACAUUCUUUGGAGGGAAACACCACAGAGAACUCAAAUUCAGAUAUCUACACAACUUGCUAGUCCCAUCCAGCCUCAUCCCAAAUGCGAAGCCCUUCCAGAAGAAUUUGGGGCGAAAUCUUUUGAUCCUUGACCGUAACAAUCGCAGCAUUAGACAGAGCAGGUGCCACCUCCCGGACAGGCAGGUCACCGUCGAAGGUGAAAAAGGCACAACCGGGGAGGCCCGAGCCGAACUGGAUGACCGCGGGAGGUUUCUGCCUAGCCAUGAAGUUGACCGUGAGGUGACCAUUAGAGCGACAGAUCAGGCAAAAAGGAGGGUUGGUGCAGCGAGACUGGAAAUGGCCAGGCAUGUGACAAGCGAAGCAGGUGAGCGCCGAGGGGUUGUUAUGGGAAGCAGAGGACGGGCGGGAUUGCGAAAGCGACGGAGGAGGAGGAAGGAUCCCAUCCCCCAUCCCCGGAAAAGGGGGCGCCCUAGAGGCCGGACCGGGCGGCCGACGCGCCAGCCCCGCGAAGGACCGAGGCGGCGGACAAGCACCAGCACCAACCCCAACCGAGCGAGGAGGAGGAGGAGGGCGCGACGGAGCAGAUGGACCGCGGCCCACUCCCGGAGCAGGAAGGGAGGCAGAAGACGAAGAAACACCACCGCCAGAGGCCACUGCCGCCUCCCACGGGUCUAGCACCGGAGAGAGAGAAUGGCCAGAUCUAGAGCCCUGCGGGCCGGAUCCGGGCACACCAACCCUCUCCGAGCGCUGCGACCACUCCGGACCCGAAGCCCGAGCCUCGCGGUCACGAGCCACCUGCUCGCGCCGCCUGUUCCGCCUCCAACUUGGAACGGAGCGAAGCCUCAAGCUCCAGAUCCACCGCGGAGGAAGGGGAGUCCUCACGGCGUCGCUUGCUGCCCGAGAGCGCCUCGCAGGAAGAGCCCCGCGACUUGUCCAUGGAUAGCACCACAGCAAAAGGAAGGAGGAGGGGUGGAGGUGGGGAGGAUCUAAUGAGGCGACGAAUGGGAAGACGGUGACAGCGCAGAUCGGAAGCGGAAGCCGGAAACCCUAGCAAAGGGGAGGAAGAGCCGCGGGGGAUCCAUAAAUAGCCCGUCCGAGCCGUGCCCACCUGGGCCCGACUCGCCACAUGGGCCAAAGAAGGUUGAGGAGCAGGAACCCGGACGAUGGGCCCAACUGGGCCGGACGGGACCAGAGGGGGGAAAUCUGCCACCGACGAAAGAGGGGGAGGAGAGGCAGGCCCACUGGGCAAUGGCAAACCGCAAGGCCCAUCAAGCCCACCCGAGGGGACGUCCCGCGGCCCGAUGGCCACCGCGGAGAAAUCAAGAUCUAGGUUACACGAAGCCACCAGCGACCCUGCCGUCGCCGCUGCCGGCGACGAGGCCGCCGCAGAGGCUGCAGGAGAGGGGGAUGGGAGGCCACCAAGCUCCCCAUCAGGCGCACUGCCUAGGACAACGAGAUCAGGUGACGCAACAGCAAACUUACCAGACUUACACCGCCGCCGAGAGAUCCGAAUCCAGCCAUCGACCGACGAAGACGCGGCCACCGACCGGCCCCGGCCACCAGGAGCGAACUUGCGGGGAGCG
rnacentral:lncRNA from 1 species